UACGUAGGGUGCAAGCGUUGUCCGGAUUUAUUGGGCGUAAAGAGCGUGUAGGCGGCCAAGCAGGUCAGCUGUGAAAACUCGAGGCUCAACCUCGAGACGUCGGUUGAAACCGCUUGGCUAGAGUCCGGAAGAGGAGAGUGGAAUUCCCGGUGUAGCGGUGAAAUGCGCAGAUAUCGGGAAGAACACCCGUGGCGAAGGCGGCUCUCUGGGACGGUACUGACGCUGAGACGCGAAAGCGUGGGGAGCAAACAGG
rnacentral:rRNA from 1 species